AGCGAACGCUGGCGGCAGGCUUAACACAUGCAAGUCGAGCGGGCAUCCUUGUGGUGUCAGCGGCAGACGGGUGAGUAACGCGUGGGAGCGUGCCCUUCGGUUCGGAAUAACUCAGGGAAACUUGAGCUAAUACCGGAUACGUGCGAGAGCAGAAAGGUUUAUCUGCCGAAGGAUCGGCCCGCGUCUGAUUAGCUAGUUGGUGAGGUUAUGGCUCACCAAGGCGACGAUCAGUAGCUGGUCUGAGAGGAUGAUCAGCCACACUGGGACUGAGACACGGCCCAGACUCCUACGGGAGGCAGCAGUGGGGAAUAUUGGACAAUGGGGGCAACCCUGAUCCAGCCAUGCCGCGUGAGUGAUGACGGCCUUAGGGUUGUAAAGCUCUUUUCUCCGGGACGAUAAUGACGGUACCGGAGGAAUAAGCCCCGGCUAACUUCGUG
rnacentral:rRNA from 1 species